CAAUGUGAUAAAUAAUACUGAAUAGAACCAAACUUGCAUGUAUACCAACCAUGUAAUGUCCGAAUAAAGCAACCGUUUGUUCACAACGUUUGGCACCUC